rnacentral:rRNA from 1 species
UACGGAGGGUGCGAGCGUUGUCCGGAAUCACUGGGCGUAAAGGGCGCGUAGGCGGCUUUUUAAGGGUGCGGUGAAAGCCCGGGGCUCAACUCCGGAACUGCCUUUAAGACUGCAUCGCUUGAAUCCGGGAGAGGUGAGUGGAAUUCCGAGUGUAGAGGUGAAAUUCGUAGAUAUUCGGAAGAACACCAGUGGCGAAGGCGGCUCACUGGACCGGUAUUGACGCUGAGGUGCGAAAGCGUGGGGAGCAAACAGG